GAUGAACGCUGGCGGCGUGCCUAAUACAUGCAAGUCGAGCGAACAGACGAGGAGCUUGCUCCUCUGACGUUAGCGGCGGACGGGUGAGUAACACGUGGAUAACCUACCUAUAAGACUGGGAUAACUUCGGGAAACCGGAGCUAAUACCGGAUAAUAUAUUGAACCGCAUGGUUCAAUAGUGAAAGACGGUUUUGCUGUCACUUAUAGAUGGAUCCGCGCCGCAUUAGCUAGUUGGUAAGGUAACGGCUUACCAAGGCAACGAUGCGUAGCCGACCUGAGAGGGUGAUCGGCCACACUGGAACUGAGACACGGUCCAGACUCCUACGGGAUGCAGCAGUAGGGAAUCUUCCGCAAUGGGCGAAAGCUUGACGGAGCAACGCCGCGUGAGUGAUGAAGGUCUUCGGAUCGUAAAACUCUGUUAUUAGGGAAGAACAAAUGUGUAAGUAACUAUGCAUGUCUUGACGGUACCUAAUCAGAAAGCCACGGCUAACUACGUG
rnacentral:rRNA from 1 species